rnacentral:rRNA from 1 species
AUCACUCGGCUCGUGGAUCGAUGAAGAACGCAGCGAAAUGCGCGUCGGCAUGUGAACCGCAGGACACAGAACAUCGACAUUUUGAACGCAAAUGGCGGCCCGGG